rnacentral:rRNA from 1 species
GACGAACCGUCCAAACGUUAUUCGGAAUUACUGGGCGUAAAGGGUGCGUAGGCGGCGCGGUAAGUCGGGUGUGAAAUCUCGGAGCUUAACUCCGAAACUGCAUUCGAUACUGCCGUGCUUGAGGACUGGAGAGGAGACUGGAAUUUACGGUGUAGCGGUGAAAUGCGUAGAUAUCGUAAGGAAGACCAGUGGCGAAGGCGAGUCUCUGGACAGUUCCUGACGCUGAGGCACGAAGGUCAGGGGAGCAAACGGG